rnacentral:lncRNA from 10 species
GCGUCAUACACCUGCACCCGGGAGGAAAGGCGAGGCUCUGCAUCUAGAUUUACCUCGUUCUCUUUUGUCUCCGCUUUUUUUUCACAUUUCCUUGCGACCCUGGCCCUUGAGCGACAAAAAGGGGAAGCCAAGGCUGGCCCGAGGAACGGAGAGGGCACAUGGCCUAGCCACAAGUGGAGCUUCUGCUCCGCCCGAAGGGAUGCGCUGGAGCGGCCUCUUCCUUCUGCCACGGUCUUUCUUUGCCAACUAGUAGAGAUGGGGUUUCACCAGGUUAGCCAGGCUGGUCUUGAACUCCAGACCUCAAGGGAUCCGCCUGCCUCAGCUUUCCAAAGUGCUGGGAUUACAGGUGGAGACUGGACCUCAGAAGAGGGAGUGGGUGCCCCGAGAACUCACAGCUAGCGGACAGUGGAAAGGGCAGGAGCCGGACCAAGGCUCCGGCAUGACGGGUGACUUCUUCCGAGUCUGGCUUCUGCAGCACACAGGGCUUCGCCAGCACCCAGCUCCUGCAGCAUGGGCAGCUCCUGUGACAGCAGGCGCCCGCAGCCUGCAAAGCGUCUCCAGUGCCGCCGCCUCAGUGAACCUCAACCAGCGGCACCUAGCAGCUUUCUCUGCCACCCUCUUCAGGUCUGGAUCUAAGCCCAGGGACCAGGAAACCUCUUGCUUGAGUGCUGGAACUCAGGCCAGAAGGCAGGAAGCCCGCCUGACCCCAUGUCUCAGGCUGCCAGAGGAGCGUGCGAUGAGGAAGGCUGGACUGUCUUCACAGGACACCAGGGAGAAGCCUCAAGCCACUGCCCCCUGACAAGUCGCAGCUCUCCAGCCUGUCUCCUCACUCCCCUCCCCUCCACAUGGGGGGGUUGGGGUGGGGGCGGGGAAGGUUCGGGGCAGGGGUCAUUUCAGCUACUGGGCACCAGUCUCCUCCUCAUGUUUAUCCUGUUCCCUUUGCUUGAAAGGUUCGUACUCCAGAUCCUUGUAAAACCGCUUCUCACCCUUUGAGUCUCAGCUUAAAUGUCCCCUCCUUGGAGGGGUCUUCCCUGACAAUGAAGCUCCGACCGUCCUCUCCUGUUUUACCCAGUUCAUUUCUUUCUGGCAUUUGUAACUACUUGAAGUUAAAGUGUGUGCCAUGUA